UCACCCUGUGGGCCUCAAAUGUGGAGCACUAUUCUGAUGUCCAAGUGGAAAGUGCUGCGACAUUUGAGCGUCACCGGUGA
rnacentral:pre_miRNA from 5 species